UACGUAGGGCGCAAGCGUUAUCCGGAAUUAUUGGGCGUAAAGAGCUCGUAGGCGGUUUGUCGCGUCUGCCGUGAAAGUCCGGGGCUCAACUCCGGAUCUGCGGUGGGUACGGGCAGACUAGAGUGAUGUAGGGGAGACUGGAAUUCCCGGUGUAGAGGUGAAAUGCGCAGAUAUCAGGAGGAACACCGGUGGCGAAGGCGGGUCUCUGGGCCGUAACUGACGCUGAGGAGCGAAAGCAUGGGGAGCGAACAGG
rnacentral:rRNA from 1 species